rnacentral:rRNA from 1 species
GUGCAGCAGGCGCGAAACCUUCGCAAUGCACGAAAGUGCGACGAGGCUACUCCGAGUGCCAUCCGCUGAGGAUGGCUUUUCUCCGGUGUAGUAAGCCGGAGGAAUAAGGAGAGGGCAAGUCUGGUGUCAGCCGCCGCGGUAAUACCAGCUCUCCGAGUGGUAGGGACGAUUAUUGGGCCUAAAGCGUCCGUAGCCGGCCAAGCAAGUUUCCCGUUAAAUCCAGCGAUCCAAUCGUUGGACUGCGGGAAAUACUGUUUGGCUAGGGGGCGAGAGAGGCCAACGGUAUUCCCGGGGUAGGGGUGAAAUCCCAUAAUCCCGGGAGGACCACCAGUGGCGAAGGCUGUUGGCUAGAACGCGCUCGACGGUGAGGGACGAAAGCUGGGGGAGCGAACCGGAUUAGAUACCCGGGUAGUCC